AUUGAACGCUGGCGACAGGCCUAACACAUGCAAGUCGAGCGGAGCGGCGGACGGGUGAGUAAUGCCUAGGAAUCUGCCUGGUAGUGGGGGAUAACGUCCGGAAACGGGCGCUAAUACCGCAUACUAUCAGAUGAGCCUAGGUCGGAUUAGCUAGUUGGUGGGGUAAAGGCCGACCAUGGCCACGAUCCGUAACUGGUCUGAGAGUGUGAUAAGUCACACUGGAACGUAGACACGGUCCAGAAACCGACGGGAGGCAGCAGUUGGGAAUAUUGGAAAAUGGGCGAAGGCCUGAUCCAGCCAUGCCGCGUGUGUGAAGAAGGUCUUCGGAUUGUAAAGCACUUGAAGUUGGGAGGCGUUACCAACAGAAUAAGCACCGGCUAACUGCGUGCCAGCAGCCGCGGUAAUAC
rnacentral:rRNA from 1 species